rnacentral:rRNA from 1 species
UAUGUGAUCGUCUCUCGCAUAUCAAUAAGCGGAGGAAAAGAAACUAACAAGGAUUCCCCUAGUAACGGCGAGUGAAGCGGGAAGAGCUCAAAUUUGAAAUCUUAAAGGGUUUCCCUUUACGAAUUGUAGUUUAAAGAAGUGUUUUCUGUUGAGGUUUUGGUAAAAGUUCUUUGGAAUAGGACAUCAUAGAGGGUGAGAAUCCCGUAUUUGACCUUUACUUUCAACUUUGUGAUACACUUUCAAAGAGUCGGAUUGUUUGGGAAUGCAGUCCAAAAUGGGUGGUAAAUUUCAUCUAAAGCUAAAUAUUGGCGAGAGACCGAUAGCGAACAAGUACCGUGAGGGAAAGAUGAAAAGAACUUUGAAAAGAGAGUUAAACAGUACGUGAAAUUGUCAAAAGGGAAGCGUUUGACACCAGUGUUGUUUUUCUGAAAAUCAAUUAAAGAACUGUUUAUGCUAAGUUGUUUAGACUUUAUCAGCUAACUGUUUAGUUUUGAGCUUUUCUUUAAUGCACUUUUCAGUUAACAAGUCAACAUCAAUUUCUUUUGCUGUAAAAAAGCUUGAGGAAGGUGGCUUGAGAUUCGUCUUAAGUGUUUAUAGCCUCUUGCCUAUGCAGUCGGAGAGAUUGAGGUCUGCAGCGUAGAUCCUUCGGGGCUAAACGCAUUUGUGCUAAGUUAUAGCAUUUUAUAGACAACUUGUUGACUAUGAUUUGUCUUGUAGCUUACUCGCUUAUGUUAUUUUACCUACGCUUAGGAUGUUGACACACGCGCGUGCUCG